rnacentral:rRNA from 1 species
ACUCGGAGAUAGCUGGUUCUCCUCGAAAUAGCUUUAGGGCUAGCCUUGAGGUAAAGUCUAAUGGAGGUAAAGCACUGAUUGGACGCGGGUCCCCAAAAGGAUACCAACUUCUAUCAAACUCAGAAUGCCAUAUAGAUAUACUCAGGAGUCAGACUAUGUGAGAUAAGUUUCAUAGUCAAAAGGGAAAGAGCCCAGACCGACAGCUAAGGUCCCAAAGUGUGUGUUAAGUGGAAAAGGAUGUUAGGUUUCUAAGACAACUAGGAUGUUGGCUCAGAAGCAGCCACUCAUUUAAAGAGUGCGUAACAGCUCACUAGUCGAGAGGUCUAGCGCCGAAAAUGUCCGGGGCUAAAACACACCACCGAAGCUACGGAAUUACCUAUGGUAAUUGGUAGAGGAGCAUUCUGUAAGGAUGAAGCACAAUUGAAAGAGAGUGUGGACGAAACAGAAGAGAGAAUGCCGGAAUGAGUAGCGAGAUAUAUGUGAGAAUCAUAUAGGUCGAAUGUCUAAGGUUUCCUGGGUAAAGCUGAUCUGCUCAGGGUAAGUCGGGACCUAAGGUGAGGGCGAGAGCCGUAAUCGAUGGACAACAGGUAGAAAUUCCUGUACUACGUAUAAUCAGAACUGUGGGGACGCAGGAGGAUAGGAAAACCGGAGAAUGGAAAAAUCCGGCUAAGUACAAAGGUGUGAGUGAUAGGCAAAUCCGUCACUAUUAGCUGAAGUACGAAUGGGAGCGAAGAAAAGUAGCGAAGUUUCUGAAUCCACACUGUCAAGAAAAGCCGCUAUUGCGUUAUACGUACCCGUACCGCAAACCGACACAGGUAGACGAGGAGAAAAUCCACAGACCGACGGGAGAAGUGUUGUUAAGGAACUCGGCAAAAUGACCCCGUAACUUAGGGAUAAGGGGAGCCAACGCAAGUUGGUCACAGAAAAGAGGCUCAAGCGACUGUUUAGCAAAAACAUAGGUCUAUGCGAAACCGUAAGGUGAUGUAUAUGGGCUGACACCUGCCCGGUGCUGGAAGGUCAAAAGGAGAGGUUAGCGUAAGCGAAGCUUUGAAUUCAAGCCCCAGUAAACGGCGGCCGUAACUAUAACGGUCCUAAGGUAGCGAAAUUCCUUGUCAGGUAAGUUCUGACCCGCACGAAAGGUGUAACGAUUUGAGCACUGUCUCGACAACACGCCCGGUGAAAUUGAAGAACCAGUGAAGAUACUGGUUACCCGCAACAGGACGGAAAGACCCCAUGGAGCUUUACUGCAGCUUAAUAUUGGGAUUCGGUAUUGUAUGUACAGGAUAGGAGGGAGACUAAGAAGCUAGCACGCCAGUGUUGGUGGAGUCGAUGGUGGGAUACCUCUCUUAUAAUACUGAAUUUCUAACCUACUUCCGUGAUCCGGAAGAGGGACAUUGUUAGGCGGGCAGUUUGACUGGGGCGGUCGCCUCCGAAAGAGUAACGGAGGCGCUCAAAGGUCUUCUCAGAAUGAUUGGAAACCAUUCAAAGAGUGUAAAGGCAAAAGAAGGCUUGACUGCGAGAGUGACAACUCGAGCAGGUACGAAAGUAGGACUUAGUGAUCCGGUGGUAACAAGUGGGAGUGCCAUCGCUUAACGGAUAAAAGCUACCCUGGGGAUAACAGGCUUAUCUCCCCCAAGAGUUCACAUCGACGGGGAGGUUUGGCACCUCGAUGUCGGCUCAUCGCAUCCUGGGGCUGUAGUAGGUCCCAAGGGUUGGGCUGUUCGCCCAUUAAAGCGGUACGCGAGCUGGGUUCAGAACGUCGUGAGACAGUUCGGUCCCUAUCCGUUGUGGGCGUAGGAAAUUUGAUAGGAGCUGUCCUUAGUACGAGAGGACCGGGAUGGACGAACCUCUGGUGAAUCUGUUGGUAACCAAUGCCACAGCAGAAUAGCCAAGUUUGGAACGGAUAAACGCUGAAGGCAUCUAAGCGUGAAGCCAACCUAAAGACUAGAUUUCCCAUGCGAAAGCAGUAAGACUCCUUGUAGACGACAAGGUUGAUAGGCCAGAGAUGUAAGCACAGUAAUGUGUUCAGUUGACUGGUACUAAUAAGUCGAGGGCUUGACCAA